CUGGCCUGUCCCUCACUGCCCUGUCCCCGUGUCCCCAUGGCACUGGGGGACAAGGCCAUGGUGUCCCUGUCCCUUUCCAGGCUGUCCCCUUGGUUCACAGCCCUGUCCCCAUGUCCCCAUCUCUCUCCAGGCUGUCCCCAUCCCUCACAGCCCUGUCCCUGUGACACUGUGUGACAAGGCCAUGGUGUCCCCAUCCCUCUCCAGGCUGUUCCCAUCUCUCCCACUGCCAAGUUCCCAUGUCCCCUCUGAUGUCAGCGUUCCUCCAGGCUGUCCCCACCCCACAUCCCUCUGGUCCCCUAUGUCCCCAUCCCU